rnacentral:rRNA from 11 species
CUCUAAAUGCUAAACACCCUAUAGGCACUAGAUCCCAUCUGAUCUUGGAAGGUAAGCAGGAUCAGUCGUGGUUAGUACAUGGAUCAGACACUGUCCCAGUCUUCUGCUGAAUCAGAAUUCAUGAUAUUCAAAGU